rnacentral:rRNA from 1 species
ACGGGAGGCAGCAGUGGGGAAUAUUGGACAAUGGGCGCAAGCCUGAUCCAGCAAUGCCGCGUGAGUGAUGAAGGCCUUCGGGUUGUAAAGCUCUUUCGCACGCGACGAUGAUGACGGUAGCGUGAGAAGAAGCCCCGGCUAACUUCGUGCCAGCAGCCGCGGUAAUACGAAGGGGGCUAGCGUUGUUCGGAAUUACUGGGCGUAAAGGGCGCGUAGGCGGUCCCUCAAGUCAGGCGUGAAAGCCCCGGGCUCAACCUGGGAACUGCGCUUGAGACUGAUGGGCUCGAGUUCGGGAGAGGAUGGUGGAAUUCCCAGUGUAGAGGUGAAAUUCGUAGAUAUUGGGAAGAACACCGAUGGCGAAGGCAGCCAUCUGGACCGACACUGACGCUGAGGCGCGAAAGCGUGGGGAGCAAACAGGAUUAGAUACCCUGGUA